rnacentral:rRNA from 1 species
CCUACGGGAGGCAGCAGUAAGGAAUAUUGGACAAUGGUCGCAAGACUGAUCCAGCCAUGCCGCGUGCAGGAUGAAUGCCCUAUGGGUUGUAAACUGCUUUUAUACGGGAAUAAACCUGGGUACGUGUACCCAGCUGAAUGUACUGUAAGAAUAAGGGUCGGCUAACUUCGUGCCAGCAGCCGCGGUAAGACGAAGGACCCAAGCGUUAUCCGGAUUCAUUGGGUUUAAAGGGUGCGUAGGCGGGUUGAUAAGUCAGUGGUGAAAGCCCAACGCUUAACGUUGGAACUGCCAUUGAUACUGUCGAUCUUGAAUGUGUUUGAUGUGGGCGGAAUAUGACAUGUAGCGGUGAAAUGCUUAGAUAUGUCAUAGAACACCGAUUGCGAAGGCAGCUCACAAAGCCACUAUUGACGCUGAGGCACGAAAGCGUGGGGAUCAAACAGGAUUAGAUACCCUGGUAGUCCACGCCGUAAACUUUGAUCACUCGCUGUUGGCGAUACACUGUCNGCGGCGUACGACGAAGACGUUAAGUUAGAUCCGACCCGUCGGGGUAGGGUACGGGUUCCGGCGACGACGUAGUAAACGUACGAAACGGAAAGUUAGGUACGGACGUUGAGGACGUUCGGCCGACGGACGACCGACGACGGGGAGGGUAGGG